UACAGGGGGGGGCAAGCGUUGUUCGGAAUUACUGGGCGUAAAGGGCUCGUAGGCGGCCAACUAAGUCCGACGUGAAAUCCCAAAGCUUAACUUUGGAACUGCGUCGGAUACUGGAUGGCUUGAAUUCGGGAGAGGGAUGCAGAAUUCCAGGUGUAGCGGUGAAAUGCGUAGAUAUCUGGAGGAAUACCGGUGGCGAAGGCGGCAUCCUGGACCGACAUUGACGCUGAGGAGCGAAAGCUAGGGGAGCGAACGGG
rnacentral:rRNA from 1 species